AAAGGCUACACGUGAAGAAUUUCAGUUGUUUUGGUGGUCCACUUGUCCAAUGGAAUGCGCAGCACUUAGAUCAUGGGUUUUAAGUGGGAAACCAAUUUCUGUGAUGCGUACCAGAAAAUAAGCUAUAGGAUGGAAAGUGGCUGCUUCUUGCUGAUGAUGACGCUGAUCUGCAAUUACCAAUGCAGUGACAUAUUUGUAAACGAAAGUGCCCGGCCCGAAGAAAAUGUACACAAGUGGGGCAGGACUGAAAAUUUCAUUCCUACGAGAGAAAAGCAGCUCAACGUCCAGGGACGCACGAGGCCGAAUCCUAAGGAAGCUUCACUGAACACGGUCGAAUUAAUAAAUGGUCGAGGUUACCCGUUUGAAAUUCACAGUGUGACAUCCAGUGAUGGCUACAUUCUCGAAUUGCAUCGCAUUCCAUACGGUAGACACAAGAAGAUGGCGCCCAAGGUCUCAGGACAACCCGUUUUUCUUCAACACGGACUUAUGAAUAGUGAUAAUGUCUGGCUACUUCUUCCAGAUGCUCUUGCGUUCACUUUAGCCGACGCAGGAUAUGACGUUUGGUUGGGUAAUGCUCGAGGUAAUACGUACUCACGCCGACAUGUUAGUCUCGAUCCAUCACAAGAAGACUAUUGGAAUUUCUCGUUCGACGAAAUGGGCAACUACGACAUUCCAGCCGUCAUUAAUUUCGUGCUGACAAAGACCGGAAGUGAAAAGAUGAGCUACGUUGGUCACUCAAUGGGAUGUACCAUGUUCUUUAUUUGCAUGUCGUUACAUCCUGAGUUAAAUGAGAAGAUUGAUGUGAUGAUUGCAUUAGCACCUGCAGUUUCAAUGGCAAAGUCAACAGCUCCUCUAAUGGUUAACCAAGCACCAUUUGCUCCACAAAUAAAGUAUGUUUUUGAUUUGAUUGGUGUGCGUGCGUAUCAACCAGUCGAUUCAUUUUGGAACAACCUCCGUAAGCGAUAUUGUGAACCUAAUCUUUUCUUGCGUUAUUCUCUUUGUCAGAAUACCUUAUUCUCCUCUUCGGGGGAUGAAUACCACUCUUUAGAUUUGAAUCUUUUACCAAUUAUUGAUGGUCACAAUCCUGCCGGAACAUCAGUUAACACUGCUGUUCAUUAUGCGCAGAACUACAUGGCCGGUCAGACAUUUCAACGUUUUGAUUUUGGGGUUGAGGAAAAUCAAUUGCGCUAUGGCCAAACAACUCCACCAACUUACGAUUUAAGUAAGGUCACAUCGGAUGUCUUCAUUUUCUGGGGGCAAAGCGACAAGGUGUCUGCUCCUACGGAUAUUGCCUGGCUGGAAACCAAACUAGGAAACUUGAGAAAUUCCAUUAUGAUUGAAGAUCCGCUAUGGAAUCAUUUUUCGUUUCUUUUUUCAGCAGAUGCCAAACGGCUAGUCUACGACAAACUGAUUCCAUUCCUGCCAAAACCUAUUUUGUAGUUUCGGAUGUGUUUUAUAAAUUUGUUCAAAGUUUUCAUAGGAAAGAAAGUUGGGAAAUUUAAACAAAUACGCGAGUUUUUAUUCUUUAACCAUUUAAAAACAAACGAUUAGGAAAAGGUUCAACAGAAAUCCCUCCCAUCGACAACCAUAUCAAGGACAUCUAAGAUAAACUGUUUUUGCACCAUUUCUUCUCUAAUUUAUUGGUGUUACCUGCCACCUUUGUCACUACUCCUCUCGUCCUAGUUGUCAAUUUAAAAGCUUUUUUGGAUUAUUGAAUCAACAAUGAGCUUCUCGUUCUAGGUUCUAUCGAAUCAACUAUGAAGUCGUUUGUAAUACUUCACUUCAAUUCUUUUUGUGCUGGGCUAGCUAUGAGGAAAAGUGUUGUCAGAUCCAUCAGGGUUUUUUGUGCUACGUAACCUCUUGCAUUAUGGAUGUAACAUAACUAUUUCUCUUGUUUGUAACGGUUGUAGGAAGAUGGUGAAUCAGCAUAGUUCUAUGUAUAAUUUAGCAAGUGCAAUAUACAGUCCGCAAAUAGUA
rnacentral:misc_RNA from 1 species